UGUUAAUAAAUCUUUCAGAAGAAAGUGUGUAAAAGUUUGACUACAGUAACCAUAUCUAACCAAGCUUCAUGUACCAAGAUAAUUAUUUCAUUUAUUUCUCAUCAGAUCAACUGUUCAUUUAUGCAGUUUAUGCUUUAUUUAUAGGUAGCAUAACUGUUACCUUUUUGUUUACAGUUCUGCAUAUAUAAUAUGACAAACCUAGGAGACUUUGCUGUAAGAGAAUUAAUCAUGUUUUUGUUUUCUUUUCUCAGGUCCGGUCAGUACCCACCACCCUUCCCUGUUCACCCACAGUUUAUACUUUUUCUUAGAAAACCAACGGCUCUUUUAAGAGCCACUUCAAUAGACCCUUUUACAGCCCACGUGAUCAAAUAGCCUGCGUGCGCAUUUUGGCAACGGAAGUGAUGUUAUCUCCCAGUGGUUCUAACGUGUAAGCAACUCAGAAAGUUUAUUAAAACGAUUUCCCCACAUCAAAACAUCUGGUUGUAACAUUUGGUUGCACUAAUAUAAUAUAUGUUUAGUAUUUGGCCAUCUUCUAACGUCUUCUAUCCACUCCACUAUAGUACACGGAUCUGGUAACUGUGUAGAAAAUAAGUCAACUUUUUAAACUAACUUUCUCUGUCUGUGUUGCUUCACUGCUGAUUCUUGCUGUGCUUCCGUUGCCAAACUGCGUGCGCAUACGUUGCCACGUCAUCAUUGUGUACAAACAGUAAAAGGGUCACUCACUCACUCUUUCGCAAGCUUCUCUGUUUUCAAGUAUUGUAAUUUUAUUCAUUUUACUCUCUCUCUCACUGUCCAAAACACUUAGCCUAUGCCUCUUUGUCUGACCAAUGUAGUAUUGUUGAAAUGGCUGCUGAGCAAGACAGAGGGAGAGCAGAGGGUGUUAUUUUCAUAGCAGACAUGCUUCUUGCUCAAAUCAAGGCAAAGGAACCCAAGGGCAAAGCAACAGCCAUUAAAGGGAGUACAUUUAAUGUCCGAUAGGUGGAGAAAAUGCUGAAGGACGUCCACUACUAAAAAGCAGCAGAAGUGAAGAGAUACAAAGCUUCAGCUACAGUCUGUUUAUUGCCUACAGUGAGACCUCCACAUUUCUGCACUUGUGAUCAUGCAAACAUCCAGUGUAGAGCACUUCACCUGCCCGGCAUGUACACCCAACAAUGCUCGCUCUUUGUGCAGAUGGCAACAGAAAAACCUACAGAUUCCGUCAGUCAAAAGAAAGGAGCUUCAAGCAGCCACAAACGGAGAGUUCUUUUGAACAGAUAUUGCUUGCAAGUAUUGGCCAUACCUUGAGAAGGCGUCAGUCUCCAUGUUGGAACUCAGACCUUUACUGCAGAUGAGACCUUUCCUUUCUGUCAUGCAUGCCAAGGCUCAUUCAACCAAGUGUCAGAUAAUCUGGCAAAAAUCAGGAAGGUGCUGGUACAACUGCAGUUGAGGAGGUCAAAAUGGUCAACAGCUACCUGUCUCGUUGUGGCCUCACAACCAACCAGGAAUGACAUGCUAACUGUCCAUGCUAUUGGGUGGAACCAACGGAAGCAAGAAGGCCUUCAGCAUUAUCCAGCAGAUACAUCAAGAGACGGGAAGAUUUGAGCAGUGAACUGGGGUGUCCUGAGAACAUUGUGAAUCAGUGGGUACAAGAUGUCAGACAAAAGGCUACUGAUGGAUUUGGUAGGUACCAGAUGUGAUGACCUACACAACCUUCAGAAAUGAAUUGAACAAAUGUUUCUUAGUCUUCAUCGAAAAGCCAGCCUUUAUAAUCACACUGAAUCCAGCAACACCCUCACCAAGAAGAUUUCAAAAGUGCGCCUUCAAGAAGCAAAGAUCAUUGUGAUGAGGGAGAUGAGACACCACUGCACCGCACCUAUCUCAGAAGCCUGGCUAGGAACAUCAGGAAAAUGAUUUCAGAAAUGUCUUCAGGCAAAAACAGUGGCAGUUUAAGUGAAGAGUGUCAUCGCUGGCUACUGUGUCGUCUUCAGAAAAGGCUUGCAGAUGUAGAGAAGAAGUUCCAAGUUUGCUCAAGUUACAGCCAGGCUUUAGGACAGUGUUCUUCACUCCCAACCCUGGAGAGCCGGUGUCCUGCAGACUUUAGGUCCAACCUUAAUCAAACACAUCUGAAAGUUAAUCAAUGUCUUCAUGAUCUCUAGAAAAUCACAGGUACGUGUGUUUGAUUAAGGUUGGAGCUAAGCUCUGCAGGACACCGGCUCUCCAGGAUAGAGAGUGAAGAACACUGCUUUAGGACCAAAUGCUGUUUCUCUGCUGGAGGAUGAGCCUGAGGAGAUACUGGAGGACCACGAAGAGCUGGAUUAUGAGAGUUCAGAUGACAUUUUGGAUUUGGAACUCUGAACUGGUGUAUGCAUUUAGACUGUGUGUCACACUGAACUGCAGGUGUGUUUCAUUGAAAACAUAAAACUAUUUGGAAAUGUAAUGGAUGUCUGAUACAGUGCUUUUAUUUUAGACAACCGUUUCCUGCAGUGUGUAAGCAACAUUAGCCUCAUAGAUUGAUGGGAAACUACUGUUAAAUAAGUUUCUGUAUGAUAAUCCAUAUCUCCGUUUACAAGCAGCAGGUUAGCUAUUAGGUUUCCCCUCCACCUCCGAUGUUUCACAGACUACUCCUACAGUCAACUGUGUUGCUACAACUUGCAAAUGCCACAAUCCUCUUGCAGUGGUUACUUCACCAAACUGUGCCCAGAUCAUCUUGUCAACAUAAUGACAUUUACUGUAGAAAAAUGUGCAAAUCUAUUUUGCCUGUGUUACAUAUGUUACUAUUAUUGUUAUAUAGUUUUAUACUGUAUCAAGUCUUUUCAAAGUGAUUGUGGAUACGUUUGGAGUGAACUAACUGUAUGUCAUUAGAUGAAAUACUUUACAUAAAUGACUGAUCAAUAGCCUACCCAUAUUUGAUGCAUGAGUUAAUACUGUUGUUACCUUUUCAAUGAAAGGAAAUGUUUAACAAUGCCAUUUUCUUGAGGUAAUUAUUAAACUGUUUCAUAUAUGUACCUGCAAAAUUGUUUGCUAAAGCGUUGUUUACUUUUCCCUGUUUUGAAAAUGAGAUGUAAAACUGCUUUAUUUAUUUAUGCCUUAAAAAUAUAUGAUAGUUUAAUACAGGGUAAAUAUUAAUAAAAACGUGUUAAUUAGUUAGUAUAUACAGUUGUGUUGUAUUAUUUAUGGCAUAGUUGUUAUAAUUAAUACAAGUUUUUCAUUACACUGCUGCAUAACUUUGCUCUAGAUAAUAGUAGGGUAUUAACACUAGACAGUUCAAAGAUGAUUAACUUUUAAGUUAUGUAUACUAUAAAUACAUAUAUUUACAUAUAGUAUGUGUGAAUGCUUUUGGUCUUUGAUUAAAUGCUUGUCAGCACGGGAAAGUGCUUUGUAAAUAAAGUUAUUUUUAUUA